CCUUCAUUGGAGCUAUUUGAAGAUUUUUGAAAAGCUACAAAGUUUACUGGCAGUCGAGGGAAUUUUGGUGUCAAAAUCAUUUUCGGGUAAUUCCUCUUUAAAUUUUUUUGAGGAGCUUAUUUACAAAUUGCCUUUAAAGUCUGGAUGCUGCAAAAAGAGGAGCAAAUAGGUUAGCAAGUUGGAGAAACAAAUGAGGCUGUGGGAGAAACUGUUCGUAAUGAUGAGUUGGAUGAUGAUGAAGGAAUGAAUCUUGGUGAGUGCUAAGGGUUGUCGAAACCCUCCAAAAUAAUUACUAAUUUUACUAAAUCUAACUCGUAAAAGUAGUGGGACGAGGUCGAAUCCCAAGAGAACCAAUGAAAUUAAUUUCUCAAAGUUAAAAAAUGGGGGGUUCUGGAUUUAAAUUUUGAAAUUUAAAUGGAUAAACUAAAAGGAAAACAAAAAUCAAUCUUACGAAACUUCCAAUCCGAAGGUAUGAUUUUCAUCUAAUUAUAAUCUUGAUCAUACGCUUUACACAAAAUUGGUUUCUUGAUUCAAGAACUUAGUCUACUUGGAAUAGUUGUGGUAAGUUUUAGUUCUCCUAAUUUAAUUAAUGUAGACCAAACAUCAAAAUUGAAUCUUAUUAAUUAAUCAACUGGGCACGAUAACAUUCCAUAUUAAUCAAAUAAUAGCAUUAUGGAUAAUGAGAAUGACUAAACCAAAAUCAAUUAAUUUGAGAUAGUUGCAAGUUAAUUAAUUUUGUCCCUUUGUUUCCCUAGAGUCUAUUAUGCAAGCGAUGUAAACAUGGAAAAACCAUAAAUAUACAAACAUAAGCCGACUCCUUGCUACUUAUUUCAAUCAUGCAUGAAAAUUAUGGAUCACAAACUCAUGGGUAGCAGUAGAACAAUUAAUAUUGAAUUAAGGCGUCAAUUUAAUUAAUAUAAACUGUUCACAAAUAAUAAGAACAAGAAACAAAGAAUACUUAAAAAAAAAAAAAGAAAUUUUUAUCUAACUUGAGCCUCCCAAGCUUAUAAUCGGACUUGAAUUACCCUUGAGUUGGAAAAAUUAAAGUCUAACCACGCAUGGUAGUGAGAGAAAUUGUAUUUAGGAGAAGAGAGGUUUUCGUUGGAACUUUGAUUGAUCUUCUAAUAAGCCUCAUCUAUUUAUAGAGAUUAACUUUAUCCUCUUUUAAAGAGAAAUUAUCUCUAAUAAGGAAUUCCUCACUAAGUGAGAAGCUUCUAUUUAAAAGAAAACAAAUUAACUAAAAGAGUUCCUAAUCAAUUAAGAAUUAUGUUUCCUACUUUGAUUAUAUUUCUUUAUUUACAAAAUAUCCUAAAAAUUCAUAAUUCUCAAAUUGAAGCGUUUUGUCAUAAUAAUAGUGUCUGUAUUUUAUCCGUUGAGUUGUUCCCAAUUUGGUGAAGUAUGCAUUAUCCUCUAAAAUUGCACUUUUAAAUUAUUAUGUGUGAAGGAAUUGGAAGGGAUGACUCCCCUCACUACUCCUUUUUAUAUUUCUCAAUAUCCAAAAUACCGAUAAAAUCAUACAUCAAUGAGAUGAAUCAUAAUGACAAUCAAGUGAAUAAGCAUUGAUAAGUUAUAAUUUAUAAAAACUCAAGUAUCUCAUUAACUCAUUAAAAUUAAAAUGUAAAAGACUUGACACCAUCACGGAGUUUCACUCAAUUUUCUCAAGGUGUUUUUAGGGUGCUUCACUCUCAGAGACAAAACUUAGCAUCACUACAACAAAUGAGGUCUUUUUCCGACACUUAAAAAAAGUCGGGAAAAAUCUUUAAAAUGCCAGGAGCUCCUUUUCCCGAUGAAAUAUAUGCAUCGGCAAAAAAGUCGAGAGAAGCGCGUCGGGAAAUGUCACUCCCAACGUAUUUGACAAUAAGUUUGGAAAAGUUGACUUUUCCCAAUGGUUUCAAAAAGUCAGGAAAAGUCAACUUUUCACGACCGUUUUCAAAAAGUCGAGAAAGGUUGACUUUUUGCAACUUUUUUUGAAAAAAUGUCAGGAUUUUUUUCCCUCGUUACUUAUGAUAAUUAAAAUCCCGGAGAUUUAGCGACCUAAUUUAUGAUAUUUCAAUUCACAUUAUUUAUAUAUCAAAAUAUCAAAUAUCAAAUAUAUAUCAAAAUGUUAAAUAAAAUAACAUCCUCGUAAUAUGAUGUUACAAAAAA